UACAGAGGGGGCAAGCGUUGUUCGGAAUUACUGGGCGUAAAGGGCGCGUAGGCGGCCAACUAAGUCAGACGUGAAAUCCCCAGGCUCAACCUGGGAACUGCGUCUGAUACUGGAUGGCUCGAGUUCGGGAGAGGGAAGUGGAAUUCCAGGUGUAGCGGUGAAAUGCGUAGAUAUCUGGAGGAACACCGGUGGCGAAGGCGGCAUCCUGGACCGGCAUUGACGCUGAGGCGCGAAAGCUAGGGGAGCCAAACGGGG
rnacentral:rRNA from 1 species